GACGAACGCUGGCGGCGUGCUUAACACAUGCAAGUCGAACGGAAAGGCCCUGCUUGCAGGGUACUCGAGUGGCGAACGGGUGGGUAACACGUGGGUGAUCUGCCCUGCACUUCGGGUUAAGCCUGGGCAACUGGGUCUAAUACCGGCCAGGAGACAUUUUUAGUGUGAUGGUUGGAAAGUUUUUUCGGUGUAGGAUGAGCUCGCGGGCUAUCAGCUUGUUGGUGGGGUAAUGGCCUACCAAGGCGGCGACGGGUAGCCGGCCUGAGAGGGUGGCCGGCCACAUUGGGACUGAGGGGCGGCCCAGACAGCGACGGGAGGCAGCAGUGGGGAAGACUGCACGAUGGGCGCAAGCCGGAUGCAGCGACGCCGCGGGGCGUAUGACGGCGUUCGGGUUGUAAACUCCAUUCGCUAGGGACGAAGCUUUUUGUGACGGUACCUAGAUAAGAAGCACCGGCUAACUACGUG
rnacentral:rRNA from 1 species